rnacentral:rRNA from 1 species
AGGUACAGCCAUACCCCCCUGAACGCACCUGAUCUUGUCAGAUCUCAGAAGCUAAGCAGGGUCUGGCCUGGUUAGUACUUGGAUGGGAGACUGCAUGGGAAUACUAGGUGUUGUAGGCU